ACGGAUUUUCCAACAAACAAAACCAGUUCAGAUUGCAGUAAAGAGUCUUCUCCUGUGUUGUUCAGGUGUCCUCCUAGAAGCACCUGUGGUGUGUGAUGUAGCUAUGAGAUGCUGCCACGGAAAUAUGAGAUCCUUUAUACCUCAGGGGAGUGAGGAGGAGUCCCCUGGUAAUGAUGUCAGCAGGAGGUUGUCUUCAUGAAACAAAAAACACCACCUGUUCACAUACACGGUGGAGGAGGGGAGCUGGAAGCAGGGCGGGUGAGGAGGAAUUGUAGCCUGAUGUGGGAGAUUCACACAGCGACAAGGAAAUCCAAGCUGUGGUUUAAAGUGGAGCAAAUAAGGAAAUUAAAUGAGGUCUGACCAAAUACAUCACUUAUUCUCUUAGAGGAAUGUUCAGUUCCUUAAACACAAGGCAGCAGUGGAGAACAGAGAGGUAGCUGCAGCCUCUGGCUACCUAGAAAAGCUUGUUUCCCUCCUGUUGUAGGAGCUUUGAGCAAUUGACCUCGGUGCAGCGGAAUAUGCUAUACGACUCUGGGGGUGCACGCUGUACCUUGUUGGUUUCUCUUCCUGUGGCGGACAACUGCAGCAGAGGAUGCACCCCCCAAUGAGCAGGAAGGCCGCGGCAGCCCAGCCCAGAUACAGCGCCGCCCCGAUCUCCAUCUUCUGACCAGAGGGAAUGAGUGGACUGUAAAACUCAAUGACGAUGGUGUGUGCUGACCAGGAAACAGGCACCAGCUGGGCCAGAGCUGCGGCGAUGAAUGCCCCGCCUGAGGAAGCCAUCACCCUGGCUUUAACCCCGUCAUCAUCGAUGCAGUUGGUGCACUUUGCUCCCACCAUAGAGAUGAGGAGAGCCACCACCCCCACAAUGAUGGACACGAUGGUGAGUGCCCUGGCGGCCUGCAGGUCCUGAGGUAAAGCCAGCAUGGAGUCGUAGACCUUACACUGCAUCUGGCCCGUGCUCUGGAACACGCAGCUCAUCCACAGGCCUUCCCAGUACACCUGAGCUGUGACAAUGUUGGCGCCAAUGAAUGCGGAGACCCUCCACAUCGGCAAGGCGCAGCUGAUAAUACUCAGCACCCAGCCGAGCGCUGAUAGAGUGACACCGGUCAGUUCAAGUCCAAAAGACACCAUUGUGCAGCAAGACAAGCGUCCCCUCUUUGGAUCGAAAGUUUUUAUUUGUCCUUCCUCGCCUCUUGGUCCUUUUUCCCCUUUAUUGUCUUUUCUUUAUUGUCCUUGCUUCCCUUGCCCCCGUUUAUUUUCCAGCAAAUAUUCUGAAGGCCUUCCUGAUUUUUGAGCUCCUCUUUGUCAGCUCUUCCCUCCGCCAGGUAAGCCUCCUCCUCAAACUGUAGCUACUGCACCGGCUGCUGAAUCCAGGAGUAUCGACUGAUUGACAGUGUGCUUCCUCCACAAACUCUCUGCUGCGCGUACGUGCCAGCAUAAAUGUUGCCUUCCUUCUGUUUCUCGUAAGGAGUCGAUGACCCUUAUCUGUGUAUCUUUUUAUUGUCGUGGUCAGGCCCUCCUAAGAUAUGACAUCAUCGGCUAAACCAAGCCAAUCAGGUGAGUCCUGGGCAAUGGCCUCGUUUAGCACCUGGGUGUGUGGGUGUUCGUUUGUGUGCUUUUUCAAAUGAAGAGUAUUUUUAUGGUUUAACCUUUUGCCCAUGGUAGCUCUGGGUGUGUUUGUUUUAUUGCUGUCGAAAGGUAAUGAGUGGCCAAGGCAGAACUUGUUAUGUGGUUGAUAGGUGACCACAAGAGACUGUAACGGAUAUACAAACAUGUAUUCUUGAUGUGUAUGUGUUUAAGUGUGUGCAUGUAUCCAGUGUGUGUGUUUGAGUGGAAUUGUGUUUGAGAGAGACAAAGGAAUAAAAAAGGGGAAAUUUAGCACAUAUUAAAACGUAGCAGGCUUUUUCUGUCUCUUUUCUUUCCUUAUUUUCAAAAAAGGUUUUGUUGUGAUGUGUCAUGUUUUUAUAGCUUUGACUGAAACAUGAUGUUAAAGUUGUUUUUACAGCAGAAACUUGUACCAUCCCCACUAGGUUACACAGUCUAUGGGUAAUCAUACAAUAAAAUUCCAGUUAAUGGCAAACUAGAAAUGCUAAGAAUAUAUUUUAUAGAUGUGUAUUGGUCUUUGGCCCUCUGUGAACUAACUGCAAUGUUUUUGUAGCUCAGAACAUUUUAGUUUCUGUUCUGUUUGGGGCACAAACUACAGUAUACAUGAACAGUGUGAUAAAUACAAUACCACGAAAAGACCAAGACCAACAACGUGUUAGUUGUCCCUUCUCUGUUUGUAGCGCACAGCUCUAACCCUUUUGGUACAUACUGAAGACGUAAAUAUUUAUAAAAAGGGGUCACAGAUAUAUAGUUAAUUUCCCAAAACAGUUGGGCAACGUAGUUUUCAGUUUACAUUACUCAAACUGGAAUAAGAAUAGGAAAAACUAUAUUUGUUGGGGACUAUUUCUAGCUGCGGAUUAAUUCACAGUUAGUACACUAAUGGUUAUUUAUAGCAGCACAACUGUGUAUUUAAUCGAUUUUGGACAACAAAGGAGGUCUUUGCUGAAGGAUGAUCUAUAUCAGGCUUUGGAUAAACAGAUAAAAUUGGUUGUUGAUCAAUUGUUAAAAAAGAAUAUGCCCAGACUUUCCUUUUAAACAUCUUAACAUGAGAUAACAGAAAUGUGUUUUGUUUCACGGUUGGCAUAUUGGAGUUUUAUCUGCCUGAGCAUGAGUGAGCAAAAUAUUUUCCACCAGGCAGACUACGCGACUGCUGUUCCAUCCUGUGUCUAAUGGCUGAUGACAUGGAUUCUGGUUUCUCCCUUAAACCAGGUCUGAAUGACUCUGUGGGUUCAUGUGAUGUAUGCCUGCACAGAUUUAUACAGUGCCACUAUCAGACUCUGACACACUUUUAUCUUGUAUAUGUGUACACAUUAUCACACUUCAAUAUUAGUCACACACAUGCUGCUAAAGAAUUGGCUCACCCCUGUAACCACAAUAAGAUAAAGCCUGAUAAAAAGCAAUUAACUGAUAUUAUCUUGGUAUUUAGGAAGGAAAUAAACAAUCUAACAACAAUUCAAAUAA